GAUGAACGCUAGCGGCAGGCUUAAUACAUGCAAGUCGUGGGGCAGCAUGGGGUAGCAAUACUCUGAUGGCGACCGGCAAACGGGUGCGGAACACGUACGCAACCUUCCCAAAACUGGUGAAUAGCCCUCCGAAAGGAGGAUUAAUACACCGUAACAUAACGAAGUGGCAUCACUUUGUUAUUAUAGCUCCGGCGGUUUUGGAUGGGCGUGCGCCUGAUUAGGUAGUUGGCGGGGUAACGGCCCACCAAGCCUACGAUCAGUAACUGGUGUGAGAGCACGACCAGUCACACGGGCACUGAGACACGGGCCCGACUCCUACGGGAGGCAGCAGUAAGGAAUAUUGGUCAAUGGACGCAAGUCUGAACCAGCCAUGCCGCGUGAAGGAUGAAGGUCCUCUGGAUUGUAAACUUCUUUUAUCUGGGACGAAAAAGGGCUUUCUAGCUCACUUGACGGUACCAGAGGAAUAAGCACCGGCUAACUCCGUGCCAGCAGCCGCGGUAAUCU
rnacentral:rRNA from 1 species